AGCAGCCGCCACGGUAAUACAGAGGGUGCGAGCGUUAAUCGGAUUUACUGGGCGUAAAGCGUGCGUAGGCGGCUUUUUAAGUCGGAUGUGAAAUCCCUGAGCUUAACUUAGGAAUUGCAUUCGAUACUGGGAAGCUAGAGUAUGGGAGAGGAUGGUAGAAUUCCAGGUGUAGCGGUGAAAUGCGUAGAGAUCUGGAGGAAUACCGAUGGCGAAGGCAGCCAUCUGGCCUAAUACUGACGCUGAGGUACGAAAGCAUGGGGAGCAAACAGGAUUAGAUACCCCAGUAGUCCCUGUCUCUUAUAA
rnacentral:rRNA from 1 species